rnacentral:rRNA from 1 species
AUUGAACGCUGGCGGCAUGCCUUACACAUGCAAGUCGAACGGUAACGCGGGGCAACCUGGCGACGAGUGGCGAACGGGUGAGUAAAGCAUCGGAACGUGCCCAGUAGUGGGGGAUAGCCCGGCGAAAGCCGGAUUAAUACCGCAUACGACCUAUGGGGGAAAGGGGGGGAUCGCAAGAACGCUCGCUAUUGGAGCGGCCGAUGUCAGAUUAGGUAGUUGGGGGGGUAAAGGCCUACCAAGCCGACGAUCUGUAGCUGGUCUGAGAGGACGACCAGCCACACUGGGACUGAGACACGGCCCAGACUCCUACGGGAGGCAGCAGUGGGGAAUUUUGGACAAUGGGCGCAAGCCUGAUCCAGCCAUGCCGCGUGCGGGAAGAAGGCCUUCGGGUUGUAAACCGCUUUUGUCAGGGAAGAAAUCCUUUGGGUUAAUACCUCGGGGGGAUGACGGUACCUGAAGAAUAAGCACCGGCUAACUACGUGCCAGCAGCCGCAGUAA